UUUGGGUGAUGAUGAAAGAAAGGAUUUCAGCUGUGAUGAUCGGUUGCUUCAUGUGAUCCGAAUAUCCUUUUUUCGCUACGUUCUUUCUGAACCCUCU